rnacentral:ncRNA from 1 species
CCCGCUGAAUUUAAGCAUAUAAAUAAGCGGAGGAAAAGAAACCAACAGGGAUUCCCUUAGUAGCGGCGAGCGAACCGGGAUGAGCCCAGCGCCGAAUUCCGCACUCUUUGGGUGUUGGAAAAUGUGGCGUAUAGGAGUGAGCGUUCCGGAGUUUGACUCUGCAGCAAGUCCCCCUGACCGGGGCUGUUACCCAGAGUGGGUGCGAGGCCCAUAGCUGCUAGGUCUGCUUCGGAUGCGAUCUCCUGGGAGUCGGGUUGCUUGGGAGUGCAACCCUAAUCGGGUGGUAAACUCCACCUAAGGCUAAAUACUGCCGUGAGACCGAUAGCAAACAAGUACCGUGAGGGAAAGUUGCAAAGAACUUUGAAGAGAGAGUUCAAGAGUACGUGAAACUGCUCAGAGGUAAACGGGUGGGCCCUCGAAAUCCUGUGGCGGGAGGAUUCAGUUGGGUUUCUGUGGCAGCACUGGCCGAUUGACCAAAACGGAUCCCAGAACUGGGCCGGGUCGGCUGUGCAGGUCACGGUUCUCGACGCAUUUUUUCCCGCUCUGAGGACGCCGUAGCCGGUUGGGAAGACUCGACGGACUAAAGGACUUACGCUGGCAGGUGGCCGGUGGCGUGGCUUCGGCUGUGUCGUCGGUUGUUAGCCUGUUCGUCCGGUCUCGUCGCCCGACCGAGGUUUUUGUGGCCCGAAUGGACCCGAUUUUAUGUCCGCCUCCUCCCUUUAGCAGGAGAGCCGGGAUUAGAACGCAGCAAGCGUUCGUAGGUGGUGCGGCCGCACUCUCUGACUGAGUGGGCCAGUGCCAUCGCGACGUUGGUGAGCUACGUCGUGCCCGUGGGAGUGCUGGCGGCUAGCGGCGAGUAGAUCGGUCACCCACCCGACCCGUCUUGAAACACGG